GAUGAACGCUGGCGGCGUGCCUAAUACAUGCAAGUCGAGCGAACAGACGAGAGUGCUUGCACUCUCUGACGUUAGCGGCGGACGGGUGAGUAACACGUGGGUAACCUACCUAUAAGACUGGGAUAACUUCGGGAAACCGGAGCUAAUACCGGAUAAUAUUUAGCUUCGCAUGAAGCAAUAGUGAAAGACGGUUCUGCUGUCACUUAUAGAUGGACCCGCGGUGUAUUAGCUAGUUGGUGAGGUAACGGCUCACCAAGGCAACGAUACAUAGCCGACCUGAGAGGGUGAUCGGCCACACUGGGACUGAGACACGGCCCAGACUCCUACGGGAGGCAGCAGUAGGGAAUCUUCCGCAAUGGACGAAAGUCUGACGGAGCAAUGCCGCGUGAGUGAAGAAGGUUUUCGGAUCGUAAAACUCUGUUGUAAGGGAAGAACAAGUACGUUAGUAACUGAACGUACCUUGACAGUACCUAACCAGAAAGCCACGGCUAACUACGUG
rnacentral:rRNA from 1 species